AUUGAACGCUGGCGGCAGGCCUAACACAUGCAAGUCGAGCGGAGCGGCGGACGGGUGAGUAAUGCCUCGGAAUCUGCCUGGUAGUGGGGGAUAACGUCCGGAAACGGGCGCUAAUACCGCAUACUAUCAGAUGAGCCUAGGUCGGAUGAGCUAGUUGGUGGGGUAAAGGCCUACCAAGGCGACGAUCCGUAACUGGUCUGAGAGGAUGACCAGCCACACUUGAACUGAGACACGGUCCAAACUCCUACGAGAAGCAGCAGUGGAGAAUAUUACACAAUGGGCGCGAGCCUGAUGGAGCCAUGCCGCGUGUAUGAAGAAGGCCUUCGAGUUGUAAAGGACUUUCAGCGGGGAGGCGGUACCCGGAGAAGAAGCACCGGCUAACUCCGUGCCAGCAGCCGCGGUAAUUC
rnacentral:rRNA from 1 species